UACCUGCAGCUCGAGUGGUGAUCGUUAUUAUUGGGCCUAAAACGUCCGUAGCCGGUCUUAUAAAUGCCUGGGUAAAUCGUAUGGCUUAACCAUACGAAUUCCGGGUAGACUGUUUGACUUGAGACCGGGAGAAGCUAGAGGUACUCCUGGGGUAGAAGUGAAAUUCUGUAAUCCUAGGGGGACCACCAGUGGCGAAGGCGUCUAGCUAGAACGGGUCUGACGGUGAGGGACGAAGCCCUGGGGCGCAAACGGGAUUAGAUACCCCGGUAGUCCAGGGUGUAAACGCUGCUUGCUUGAUGUUAGUCUGGCUCCGAGCCAGAUUAGUGUCGGAGAGAAGUUGCUAAGCAAGCUGCCUGGGAAGUACGGCCGCAAGACUGAAACUUAAAGGAAUUGGUGGGGGAGCACAGCAACGGGUGGAGCGUGCGGUUU
rnacentral:rRNA from 1 species